ACUGCUCAGUAACACGUGGACAACCUACCCUGAAGAGGGGGAUAACCCCGGGAAACUGGGGAUAAUACCCCAUAGACUAUGGAUGCUGGAAUGCUUUGUAGUUGAAAGGUCCGCCGCUUCAGGAUGGGUCUGCGGCCGAUUAGGUUGUUGUUGGGGUAACGGCCCAACAAGCCUGUAAUCGGUACGGGUUGUGGGAGCAAGAGCCCGGAGAUGGAUUCUGAGACACGAAUCCAGGCCCUACGGGGCGCAGCAGGCGCGAAAACUUUACAAUGCGAGCAAUCGUGAUAAGGGAACUCCGAGUGCCUGUAAAAUCAGGCUGUCCGCCAGUGUAAAUAACUGGUGAAGAAAGGGCCGGGCAAGACCGGUGCCAGCCGCCGCGGUAAUACCGGCGGCUCGAGUGGUGGCCACUAUUACUGGGCUUAAAGCGUUCGUAGCUGGUCUGUUAAGUCUCUGGGGAAAUCUUCCGGCUUAACCGGAAGGCGUCUCAGGGAUACUGGCAGACUAGGGACCGGAAGAGGUGAGAGGUACUCCAGGGGUAGGAGUGAAAUCCUGUAAUCCUUGGGGGACCACCUGUGGCGAAGGCGUCUCACCAGGACGGCUCCGACAGUGAGGAACGAAAGCUGGGGGAGCAAACCGGAUUAGAUACCCGGGUAGUCCCAGCUGUAAACGAUGCGCGUUAGGUGUAUCGGUGACCACGAGUCACCGAGGUGCCGAAGAGAAAUCGUGAAACGCGCCGCCUGGGAAGUACGGUCGCAAGGCUGAAACUUAAAGGAAUUGGCGGGGGAGCAC
rnacentral:rRNA from 1 species